rnacentral:lncRNA from 1 species
AGUUCUGCCUGUCUACUGCCCAAGCCACACCCUGUAAGAGCCUGGAACCACAUAUCAUCCUAUGGACAACUGGCCUGAAUCUCCUUGGGGACUCCAAGUGGUAAGACAGGAUCUUGCUACAUUGCCCAAGCUAAUCCCCAACUCCUGGCCUCAAGGGAUCCUCCCACCUCAGCCUCCCGAAGUGCUGGGAUUACAGAUGUAAGCCACCAUGCCUGGCCCCUAGAUGCUUCAAAAGGAUGUGACAUUCACUUAAAGAGGAAUUCUACAGUUUUUUGAGACAGGGUCUCCCUCUGUCAUUCAGACUGUGCAGUGGCAUGAUCACAGCUCAUUGCACCCUCUACCUCCAAGGCUCAAGCAAUCCUCCCACCUCAGCCUCCCAAGUAGCUGGCAUUACAGGUGCACACCAUGACGCCCGGCUAAUUUUGUAUUUUUUAUACGGAUGGGGUUUUGCCAUGUGGCCCAGGCGGUCUCAAACUCCUGAGCUCAAGCGACCCUCCUGCCUGGGCCUCCCAAAGCAUCGGGAUUACAAGCAGGAGCCACCGUGCUCAGCCUUCAAAAAGAAGAAAAAAUAAUAAAGGCAAGUGAAGGUAUGAAGAAGGAGGAGGAGAAGAAGGAGAAGAAAAGAAUUGAGAACUCUUGCUAACCAGCCACUCCGGGUGAAAUUUUGACCCCUUUGGUCUUGCCCAUCACUCAGAGCCAUUUCUGUGGCUUGCAACCAGGAACUCCCAAGUGACAUGGAAAUAUUACUGGAUUUAAUUGAGUCCACCCUCACCUAGCCUCAGGGGCUCUUCUACCACUCAGAUGGGCAUUCUCCUCCAUAGAUCAUCUUUU